GGGGUUGUAGCUCACUUGGCAGAGCGCCCGCUUAGCAUGCGGGAGGCAGGGGGUUCAAUUCCCUCCAACUCCA
rnacentral:tRNA from 1 species